rnacentral:rRNA from 1 species
UACGUAGGGUGCGAGCGUUAAUCGGAAUUACUGGGCGUAAAGCGUGCGCAGGCGGUUGUGCAAGACAGAUGUGAAAUCCCCGGGCUUAACCUGGGAACUGCAUUUGUGACUGCAUUGCUGGAGUGCGGCAGAGGGGGAUGGAAUUCCGCGUGUAGCAGUGAAAUGCGUAGAUAUGUGGAGGAAUACCGAUGGCGAAGGCAGCCCCCUGGGAUAACACUGACGCUCAUGCACGAAAGCGUGGGGAGCAAACAGG